GGAGUAGUGCGACAGUGGUUACUCGGUUCGAUUAGAAUUUCGUCAAUUCCUUCAUCGAAUGCCGUCAGGCGCGCAGGUUCGAGUCCUGCCUGCUCCU